rnacentral:misc_RNA from 1 species
CGCACAUUGCGCCCGCUAGCAUUCUAGCGGGCAUGCCUGUCCGAGCGUCAUUUCAACCCUCGAACUCUCCAGGUUUGGUGUUGGGGUCAUCUGCUGCCUAGGCGGCAGAGCUCCGAAAUACAGUGGCGGGCCCCUCGGUAUCCCGAACGUAGUAGUAUUUCUGUUCGUUCAGGGCGUGCCGGCGGUGUUCAGCCGUUAAACCCACUAUAUUUUACAAGGUUGACCUCGGAUCAGGUAGGAAUACCCGCUGAACUUAA